CGUCACCGGCGCUAGGAUUCAGGUCGGCUUAAGGCCGCCAGAACCCGUAGCAAGCCUGCUAUACUCUCUGUGUACCUGUAAACUUCAUACAUGAUCAUACAUUUUCUGUGAAAAUAAAACUCUUUGCUGAACCAAGGCUUAACCUGUGCAUGCACUGUCUCUGUACUCUGUACUCUGUACUCAUGUACUCUGUACUCUGUAUCCCUGACUAGAGCUUGCUCUAGAUGGGUUAACUCAUACCUGUUAAGCCUGGUUUUCACAUACAGAAAAACAUAUAUACA
rnacentral:lncRNA from 1 species